CUGUAGAUAUAGGAGGGUGGGACAUGGGGUGUGGCCAGGACCACAUUAUAAAUCCGUAAUGUCAUUAUACUGUGACGUUAUCAACUGAGCCUCCAUUCCUUAAGCUUGUAUCCAGAAGUGACACAAGGCGAGGUGGGCUUUAGUCUCUUCUAGGGUUGCUAGCCCAGGCAGGGGAAACAUGAACUCACUGGAAACAAGAGUUAGCUCUCUCUUUAGAGUGCAAAAUAGAGUAGACUUACAGGGCAUGGAACAACACUGUAACAGUGCCAUGCACACGAUGAAAGUAUGUUUUGUUUUUGUUUUGUCUGGUCGGUAUUUGGAGGUACGCAAUAACUGGCUAAUAGAGAAGAUCUCUUUUCCUAGAUAUUUGGGGACUCAGUAUUUAGAAAAGUGAGUAUUCUCUCAUCAAACCUCCAAAAUGGCAGUCGAAGCUCCAGUCAGCACAUCUCCCUCUGAAGAGCUUGAUUGUUGUGCUACAGAAAGAACAAAAACCAAACACUCCAUUAAGAGAAUACGGGUUUGGUGGUAUAAUUCAGUGGUAGAGUACCAGCACGCACAAAGUCCUGAGGACCAGAAGAUGAGAGUCUAGGAGCACUCAACGGCAAUAUGUUGUUGUUACGGUUAAUCUUCGUUGUCAGCUUGACCAGAUUAUAAAUCACCUAGGAGACACUCCUCUGGGCAUGUCUGUAAGGUGUGUCCAAAGAGGUUUAAGUAAGUAAAGGGCUAUCCUGAGUGUGGGUGCCUGUUUAUACACACACACACACACACACACACGGGCUGAGCUCCCAGACUGAAUAAAAAGGGAAAAGAAGACCACAUUAUUGGAGCUGAGCACCAAUAAUUGUUUCUUUGCUUCCUCCCUGGAAGCAACGUGAUGUGCUGCCUCAGGCUCCUGCCACCACAGCAGAGCUGCUCUUACUGUCAUGCCUUUCCAGCUGUGAGGGACAACACCCCAAGAUGUGAUCCAAAACAAAUGUUUUCUUUUUUAAGUUGCUUAUGUCAUAUGGUUUGUCCAUGGAACAUGCCACUCAAAAGGGCUGUUUCUCUGAUAAACGUGACCAUGUGGUUUGUCGAUUACUGGGAUUGAUUUUUUUGGAGGUAGACAGUAAAGACUGGACUCAAGAAGUCCAGGGGGGAGCAAGGAGUCAGUCAGGAGCCAGACAAGGGGCUGUUCAUGUGCUAUACUGUGAAAGAAAAUGACUGCAUUCUUCCUGUGCCCUGAGAACUUGUAUGUGAGGCUGAAUUCAAAGGUAAUGGACUAGUUUGUUUGACAGAGAGCAUUUUAAGACAAUAUAACAUUCAAACUGAGGCAUAGUUAGUGAGCACGGGUCUUCACCCAGUUUACAGUGAGAAAGAGCAGCAAGUGGGGAGGGAGAUAUGAAAGAUGUGCCAUUUGGUGAAAUAUGUGCCAUUUGGUGAGAUAGGAAUGCGAAUGAGUUUUUAGGCUGCAGGUGAGAAGGGCACAGAGAAAGUAGCUAUAAUUGUCGGAGAGUUUAACAGGACUAAGAAGAAACUUGCCGUUCACACUGGGAUAGUAGGAAAGUACCUUGAUUCUACCUAUCAAAGAUUCUAAAUGUGUGCUGGAGAGAUAACUCAGCAGUUAAGAGCACUGGCUGUUCUUUCAAAGAUCUUUAGUAAAAUUCCUAGCAUGGACAUGCAACUCACAACCUAACUGUAGUCCCAUGGGAUCUGAUGACCUCCUCUGGCUACAGACAUACACACAAACAAAACACCCAGAUAGAUAAAGAAGUAAGUCUUUUUAAAAAAGAUACUAACUUGUAAAAAUGCAAAUUCAAUGCUUGGAAAUGUCACUCCUGCGGUUGGCUGCCAGUACCCAGAGGGCACUACAGCUGUGGUGAAGGGGAAUAGACUACUUCUCACUGUAGCAUCAGACCUUGGCAUAGUCAUCCAUGUGUGCUGGUUUUACAGGCCUGGAAAAAGCAAGAGUUACAGAAAGACGUGAAGCUGGGCAAUGUGUGGCAGGGUCAUAUUCCCUUCAAGGAGACCCCCGAGAGGUCAUUUCGUAGAGAUGUGAAGCUGAACCUUGGCUGCAAGGGGAAAGCCACUUUGGAGAUGCCGGCUGCAAGCAGAGAGGCGAACAGUGGAGCCACAGGGAGGCUGUGUGUGCUAUGGUCACAGAACUGGUGAGGUGGGGCCACCCACGGCCGCAGGAGCCCAGGUGACGGACGUUAUGAAGAGCCCCACGUUCAGGACACGAAGUGGAAGAACUUGGUGUUUUCCCUAGGCCUCACAGUUAAGAGGUUGUGUGAAUAGACUCUGCACUUACACACUUUCGAAUAAUUUGGAGCUGACAAGACUACAGGGACUUUUGAAAUGGGAAUGGAUGUGCUUUAUGUUACAAGGUAGCCAUGUGUCUGCAAAGCCUGGGGGAGGGGUGGCAGUGUGAGGUGUUUGGGUUGGGAAGGUGGUUCAGUGAGCAGAAGCCUUGCUUGCACGCCUGGUGACCUGAGUUUUACCUUUAGAUCCCAUUAGGUGGCAGGAGACACCUCUGACCUCCACAUGCAUGAGGUAGCAUGUAUGCACCUGCCUAUACAUGCUUGUACCUGCAUGGGAACAGACACAUACACUCUAAAUUCAGUAACAUUAAAAAAAUGAUGUGUUUAGUUAUAAGACUGACAGGGAUGGGCUUGUAGUGACUAAUUCAUUGUCAGCUGAUCACCUAGGAGACAUAUCUGGGCAUAUCCAUGAGAAUGUUUCCAGAAAGAUUUAAUAUAAAAAAGGCCCAUCCUGAACGUGAGCGGCGCUAUCCUGUUGGCUGAGGUUCUGUACUGAACGAAAAAGGAAAACCUUGCACCGAAAAAAAUAAUUACAUGUCAAAAUGAACCAGACCCAAAGUCUACACACCUGGAUGAACUUGUGUACAGUUAGCAAGGUGUUCGGAAGCUGUUGAGCACCAUAUGGAAUUUUACACCUCGUGCUUUUGGAGUGUGGAGACGAUGUGAUGUGACCGGUUGCCUCAUGUCCCUGCUGUUUUUCUCGCUACCAGGCUUUUCCCGUCACAAUGUACCCUCAAUAUGUGAGCCAAAAUAAACUCUUUAAUCUUCA